ACCCCAGUGAGCCACUUCUUGCACCAGAUAUAUCUUCUGGGUUGGCGGAAGGAAGGGCUGCUCAGCCCAGGGGGAGCCAGCACGAGUGGCUGCGGAUGAAGGACAUGCUGAGUGCCAUCCAUCACAGGCUCUGCAGGGCCAAGGAAGACUAGCUGGCUGUUUGUCAGCCUGCCCCACCACAUUUUACCAGGUGGCAUCCUCCUGCCCUUAAUUAUUGUCAUUAUUAUUACUAGCUUUCUCCAGACAUAACUGGGUCCAAAAUCUCUGUGGUGCCAAGAGCUCAGCUACUCUCUGCACUGACAGCGUUCCAAGUCUGAGCUUUUCUUCCCUUUGCAAACAUUACAGAUGAAUGAAGUGCUCUGUUCCCUCAUUUGUUUUACUACUUCCAGCGCAGGAUGGCUCCAGCUUCAUGUAGAGGAGGGAAGAGCAGGAGGAGGGGGGGAGGGAGUACAACACAUCAGGAGGGCUGUACAUGCCUCCAGGCUCCUGCUCCCAGGGGACUUCCUGAAUGAAUGGAUCGUGAUCUGCUCCAUUAUCCUCGGAUAAUCGACCAAUUGUCUCUUUAAACCCUUGCACCUGCACGUUGAUGUCUGCAAAACAUUCUCAUUGCUUUUCUACUGGUGUUUGCCAGCGGAAGCUACAGGAGGGACCUCAUUAGGUUUCCAGGUUGAUGUAGUCUGUGAUGAAGAGUAGCCUGUGGACUUCUCCUGAGUGGAUCUGUGUCUCUCAUAGGGUUGCAGAAGUGCCCUCUGCCCAAUUGCAAAGCCCGUGAGAGCUGCAGGAUCUGAGUGUGGAUGAGUCAUGCAGACAGCACAAGUGCAACCAAUGGAGCCAGAUCAGACCGCUGACAAGAGAAGGUGCCUGAGGAGUGCAAUGGAACGGGGAAUAAAGGGGAUUCUUCCAUGGCCAGUUGGAAGAAACUGAAGAAUCGAAGCUUGUGUAGCCUUAACAAAACACUGCAGAAGUGGGCUGAAAACACAAGGGUAAAGUUCAUUAAGAAAAACACAACAAUUACAGCGUCCUGGUAAGAGGCACCUAUGGGGUCACCUGGGACAGAAUGGGAAGUAGAGACCUCCAGAGGUUCCUUUCUAAGAGCCUGUGAGUCUUUCUAAGAUUUUCUAUGACUGUGAUCUAUGUCUAUGAUCUGAUCUGUCUGUGCUAAUGGCUUUGCUGGUUGCUUGCCAGUAUCAGCCAUUCUGUGCCAGAAUAAUGACUUAAUUUACAAGCAGCUCAUGGGAGAAAGAGAAGGUGGAAUGUGGAGAAGCCAUAGAUUCUUCAGAGGAGAUAAGAGAGGAAAUACCAAUGCACAUGAAAAGGAGCAAUUCUUCAGUUCAAGCUGUCCGGCUGCAGGUUUUAGCUUCCCUUCCAAUGGGAAUGAUCCUUGGUCACUGCUCUUUAACCAGCCUCAUACAACACGACUAAUUGCACCCCUUGUUUGAAAGGCAGUGAAUCAAGGUAAAUGAAUUUGUUAAUUGAAGAGGAGAUAUUUUCUAGGCUUGGCUUUCACUCUUGUGACUUUUAAGCUCUUUUCUCUGUCUGUAUGAUGAAUUUCACAGAGCUUGUUGGAGAGUCCCAUCUGUAGCUCUAGAUUCCCCUUUCCAGGCUGCACAUGGCUGGGUAGCAAAUAUUCUCCCUAGGAAGAAGUAAAGACAUUAUCAUUAAUAGAAGGUAUUGUUCAGGGAUCUAAUUUCCCUCCCUCUCCCCAACCCUCCUCCUAUGUUUAGGUCCACAGGGACUAUGUAAGAGGAGACAGUGUUCCUCAAUGGCCAGGAUCCACAGGCUGCGGUCAGGGGUAUUUUAGUGGGGUACCCUAUCUUUUAGCAGCAGGAUUAGACAGAAGUGACUGAAUCAAUGGGAUCUAUGACAUCACUGUGCUGAUGUCAGAGUGAUGUAAUUGACCUCUCAUGUAGAAGGCUGAUACAAAGCAGUAUUCUUUCAAGGGGCAAAUAUCCUUGACUCCUUUAUGAAUCCAUCCCUUCUUCCUAUUGAAGACCUCCUGCCCUAUCAAUAAAAAAAAAACCC